GAUGAACGCUGGCGGCGUGCCUAAUAUAUGCAAGUCGAGCGAACUGAUUAGAAGCUUGCUUCUAUGACGUUAGCGGCGGACGGGUGAGUAACACGUGGGCAACCUGCCUGUAAGACUGGGAUAACUUCGGGAAACCGAAGCUAAUACCGGAUAGGAUCUUCUCCUUCAUGGGAGAUGAUUGAAAGAUGGUUUCGGCUAUCACUUACAGAUGGGCCCGCGGUGCAUUAGCUAGUUGGUGAGGUAACGGCUCACCAAGGCAACGACGCAUAGCCGACCUGAGAGGGUGAUCGGCCACACUGGGACCGAGACACGGCGCAGACUCCUACGGGAGGCAGCAGUAGGGAAUCUUCCGCAAUGGACGAAAGUCUGACGGAGCAACGCCGCGUGAGGGAUGAAGGCUUUCGGGUCGUAAAACUCUGUUGUUAGGGAAGAACAAGUACGAGAGUAACUGCUCGUACCUUGACGGUACCUAACCAGAAAGCCACGGCUAACUACGUGCCAGCCGCCGCCGUAA
rnacentral:rRNA from 1 species